AUUGAACGCUGGGGGCAUGCUUUACACAUGCAAGUCGAACGGUAACAGGCCGCAAGGUGCUGACGAGUGGCGAACGGGUGAGUAAUGCAUCGGAACGUGCCCAGUCGUGGGGGAUAACGCAGCGAAAGCUGCGCUAAUACCGCAUACGAUCUAUGGAUGAAAGCGGGGGACCGAAAGGCCUCGCGCGAUUGGAGCGGCCGAUGUCAGAUUAGGUAGUUGGUGGGGUAAAGGCUCACCAAGCCAACGAUCUGUAGCUGGUCUGAGAGGACGACCAGCCACACUGGGACUGAGACACGGCCCAGACUCCUACGGGAGGCAGCAGUGGGGAAUUUUGGACAAUGGGCGCAAGCCUGAUCCAGCAAUGCCGCGUGCAGGAAGAAGGCCUUCGGGUUGUAAACUGCUUUUGUACGGAACGAAACGGUCCGGGCUAAUACCCUGGGCUAAUGACGGUACCGUAAGAAUAAGCACCGGCUAACUACGUGCCAGCAGCCGCCGUAAAAC
rnacentral:rRNA from 1 species